rnacentral:lncRNA from 1 species
CUUCCUACUCGGUUAACCACUGUCGCUAGUCGGACAAAUCGACGCCAUGAUUCAAAAGAGAGAUUUUGAAAUGAUGCCCAUUUAAUUCAACCAUGAUGGCUUAAGUCAUGUCACCUCAUUUCUAUCCCAAAAGUCAUGCAUGUCCCAUCAACUGAAGGGUCUUUUCACAUUCUUGAUCUUAAAAAAUAGGUAUACUCCCUUCAUCCGAUUAAAAUCGAACUCGAG